CCCCGUAGCAAGGGGCGGGCCCCGCGCCGGGGCCUAUGUGCCGUGGCCGGCGCGGCCCAGCAGGAAGUGGGGGCAGCUGGUGCCCGGGGGCCCGAGAGUCUCUGCGCUCUGGCGCGUUUGGCAGGUGAAUUCAUCGCUCGUGGUUUCUCAGGGGCCCCAGCCUGCGCCUCUUCCUGGCUACUGCACAGUGGGAAAUGACUACACCUAACAAGACACCACCGGGUGCUGAUCCCAAGCAGUUGGAAAGGACUGGUACUGUUCGGGAAAUAGGCUCUCAAGCUGUUUGGUCCCUUUCAUCCUGUAAGCCAGGCUUUGGCGUGGACCAGUUACGAGAUGAUAAUCUAGAAACUUACUGGCAAUCUGAUGGGUCACAACCUCAUUUGGUGAACAUCCAGUUUAGAAGAAAAACAACGGUGAAGACAUUGUGUAUUUAUGCAGACUACAAAUCUGAUGAAAGCUACACCCCAAGCAAGAUCUCUGUCAGAGUAGGAAAUAACUUCCACAACCUUCAGGAAAUCCGGGAUGGAGGUGUAAGACACUUAAGAUGACACAGGCUUGGUCUGAUGGAGUUGCUGGUGCCAUGGGAAGAAAAGGCCACUUCUCUAACUAAGACUAGAGGGCAUAGAUUUCCAAAUUUUCUGAUACAUGAUUCUACCCUGUUGUGCGUAGACACUCCCGUUCUUCCUUUGGAGAGAAGAAUCAGCUCAUGUAGAUGCUCAAAGAUGGCAACUCAAAUUGAAGCCUACCACCCAAGGUGAAUUAUUGAAGACAUCAGCAAGGGGUGAUUGAUGAUCAUUCUUCUCCUAAUUCGAAGAUUCUACUUAGCUCUCAUAAAAUAAAAUGCUAUCUCCCCUCAGUGUGAAAUAGGAGUUGCUGGUGAAAGAUCAUCACAGAAUAGGACAAACAGAAAAUUGAGUGGAGAGGUUUUAAUGAAGUUCACUGCUUCAACAGCUUCAUGAAGGAUCUAGCACAGAUUUCCAGGCAUUUUCUUAGCAGCAAGAAAUUGGUGGUGUAUGAAACACUGAAGCUAUGAGGCACUAUGUGUGGUGUUUUGCAUCCAUGUGACCAGACUGCUAUUCUUUCUUGUCAUUGCUUUGGCACUGUUCCCACAGAUGGCAAUACAUGGCUUUCAGUGAAUGUGGAAAACUUUUAUUGUCUCAGAUAAGCAGUCUCUUGUUUAUCCUGUCCCAACUUUACAAAUUGGUAAGUUGCCUUCAACAGAACCUCAAGAAACAUCUCUUUCAAAUGCCAGAACCUCUGCAGCACCAGAGACAUCAGUUGACUUAGGUUGAUUUGUUAAGUAUUUGCUUUUCCUGGCUUUGGAAAGCAAUUGCUCUCAGAUGUUCAGUUAUGCCGCUAAUACAGUAUGAAAUAGCAUUAUUUGACAGAACUACUGUUUCAAAUUUGGUAGCUGCUCUAGGUCCUAUAUCUUUUGAAACCAUACCUACUGUGCAUAUAAUGAUACAGUUUUCUGCAAUGGUAUGCACUUUAUGUUGUUGAACAGGUCGGUAGAGAUACCAGAUAAAAUCUUGGUAGGGAGUUCAUUUUGACACUGUGAAUCAGAGUAAUCAAGUCUUGCUGAUUUUUUUUUUUCAAGGCUUCAAGUUUUCUCUCUCUCUCUCAAAAAAAAAUCUGUUUUCUUUUUCAGUAAUGGAUUUUUGGUUUCCAAACUCUACAGCAACCCCUCAGGCUUCAUACUCUUGGCAACUGGCAAUUUGAGAGCAUGAUGCGCAUUUGUCAAGCCAACUGACACAAUAAGAAAUGUGAUGGAUAGUUUAUUUCCACAUUUUACUUUCUUUUAGUUGUCGUUGAACUAACCUGCCACCUUCCUUUUCAUGAAACAGUCUAGAUUUCUGAAUCACCCCUAGGCUGCAACUGAUCUCCAACAAAGUUGGGAUGACACAUGCAAGUUUAUCUGAAGCUCAGCAGUAUUUUCAGGCAUUAGCCAUUGACACCUUUUGUUGGCAGUCUCAGCAGGGAGUCCAUGAAAUAUGAAACUACUCUCUGAUCCCUUUGAAGGCGUAUCCAAAACAAGGUGAAAUGUAUUGGCAGAACAUAACAAAAAAGCUGGCACUGCACUUUCUGUGCAGUUCUGGAGACUGAUUGAGAACUCCUUUUGCUGGUAAUUCAUCACUUUUCACCAGCAAUAUAUUUGUUUUAAAAAUAGUUUUUUCUAUCAAUACGAAAUGUUGGACCAGCUCCUUAGCUUCAGCCAAGGAGUGCUUGGUGACCCUUGUGGGGAGUAGGUUGGAGGUAGUGAUGCUAUAAAGAGGAAAAAUGAAAAAAAAUCACGUUGUUAAAAAUCAGUUCAGUUUAAACUUGGACCAGACAUUAAAAUACCUUCAUGACAAAGGCAUGGUUAUUGCAUGAUGUCACUACAUGGCAAGGUAUCUGGGUUCCUUAUCUUAAUAUGUGUGGAUUUCUUUUAAGUGUAACCUUAACUCAAAAUUUCAUGGGUUUGCAAUGCUCGAUUUUAGAUAAAUUACAACAUCCCUUUAAUGUGUUUUAUCCCUAAAUUACUGAUCAGUAUUCUCAACUAACUCCACCUUAAUGUAAAUUUGUCUGGAAAUUGACAGUUGUUCUCCAAUAUUUUGAAUCACUGGGAUUAAGGAUUCUUAAUUCAGUUGCGCCCACGUUAAACUGGAGUAACUCCACUGACUUCAGCUGUGUUGCUUCAGUAAUGAGAGGAUUAAAAGAGCAGUAAGAAAGUAUUUUUGUCUCAAGUCAGUGGCUACAACCUUGAGAACACACAAGGAGCAGAGUUUUUGAGAAAGAAUGUGUAUCUAUUUAACUUAGGUAAAAUCAGUGAGGUUUUAAGGGCGACCACUGUAACUGUUAACCCAACAUGUUACCUAAGCAACUUCCUGAAGCGUGCAAAAUUGGACUCUAUUAUAUAUUUUCAAGUGAUUUGUCUAGUGUAAUUGUAAACAAUUCCAGUAAUAAAGUUACAAAUGCUUCCUUUGAAAAAAUAUGCCAUAAUCCAGUUAAUUUUAUGGGGGUGAAAUAGUAUUCUGUGUUCGUGUUUAACAAACUUGUGGUCUGGACUAUCCCAAUUUAACAAUUAACAGCAUUUAACAGCAAUUAACAGCAAUUAACAGUUGGCAAUUAACAGCAUCUUUUCACUUAAAGAAAAUGGCAUGUGUAUGUGUCAAAAAUAUUUUUU